CCUACGGGGGGCAGCAGUGGGGAAUAUUGCACAAUGGGGGAAACCCUGAUGCAGCGACGCCGCGUGAGUGAAGAAGUAUUUCGGUAUGUAAAGCUAUAUCAGCAGGGAAGAAAAUGACGGUACCUGAGUAAGAAGCCCCGGCUAACUACGUGCCAGCAGCCGCGGUAAUACGUCGGGGGCAAGCGUUAUCCGGAUUUACUGGGUGUAAAGGGAGCGUAGACGGCAGCACAAGUCUGGAGUGAACUGCCGGGGCUUAACCCCGGAACUGCUUUGGAAACUGUGCAGCUAGAGUGCAGGAGAGGUCCGUUGAUUUCCUAGUGUAGCGGUGACAUGCGUAGAUAUUAGGAGGAACACCAGUGGCGAAGGCGGCUUACUGGACUGUACCUGACGUUGAGGCUCGAACGCGUGGGGAGCAAACAGGAUUAGAUACCCCUGUAGUC
rnacentral:rRNA from 1 species